rfam:Nicotiana attenuata strain TT chromosome 10, whole genome shotgun sequence.
GUUGAGAUGGCCGAGUUGGUCUAAGGUGCGAGAUUAAGGUUCUGGUCCAAAAGGGCGUGGGUUCAAAUCCCACUCUCAACA